rnacentral:rRNA from 1 species
GACGAACGCUGGCGGCGUGCUUAACACAUGCAAGUCGAACGGAAAGGCCCUGCUUGUGUGGUGUUCGCGAGUGGAGCGCGGGUGUGUAACGCGUGAGUAAUGUGCUGCACCUCGUGGUAUGCCUUGGGAACUGGGGGUAUUACCCCAGAUGGGCCAUCUUGAGUGUUGUGGGGGGUUAGAAUUUUCGGUUGGGUAGGGGCGCGCGGCCUAUUAGUUUGUGGGUGGGUUAGUGGCUUACUAAGGCCGCGACUGGUAGCUGGCCUGAGAGGGUGACCGGCCACAUUGGGACUGAGACACGGCCCAGACUCCUACGGGAGGGAGCAGUGGGGAAUAGUGCACUAUGGGCGGGAGCGUGAUGCAGCAACGCCGUGUGCGGGAUGACCGCUUGCGUUGUGUACACCGCUUUCGCCGGUGGCGAAGUGUGAGUGACGGUAAUGGGUAAAGAAGCACCGGCUAACUACGUG